AGCUCUGGAGUGGAGAUAACAUUACAGAGCUGUCUCACCCCACAAGGAGCUCUGGAGUGGAGAUAACAUUACAGAGCCGUCUCAGCCCACAAGGAGCUCUGGAGUGGAGAUAACAUUACAGAGCCGUCUCAGCCCACAAGGAGCUCUGGAGUGGAGAUCACAUUACAGAGCCGUCUCACCCCACAAGGAGCUCUGGAGUGGAGAUCACAUUACAGAGCCGUCUCACCCCACAAGGAGCUCUGGAGUGGAGAUCACAUUACAGAGCCGUCUCAGCCCACAAGGAGCUCUGGAGUGGAGAUCACAUUACAGAGCCGUCUCAGCCCACAAGGAGCUCUGGAGUGGAGAUCACAUUACAGAGCCGUCUCAGCCCACAAGGAGCUCUGGAGUGGAGAUCACAUCACAGAGCUGUCUCACCCCACAAGGAGCUCUGGAGUGGAGAUCACAUUACAGAGCUGUCUCAGCCCACAAGGAGCUCUGGAGUGGAGAUCACAUUACAGAGCCGUCUCAGCCCACAAGGAGCUCUGGAGUGGAGAUCACAUUACAGAGCCGUCUCAGCCCACAAGGAGCUCUGGAGUGGAGAUCACAUUACAGAGCCGUCUCAGCCCACAAGGAGCUCUGGAGUGGAGAUCACAUCACAGAGCUGUCUCACCCCACAAGGAGCUCUGGAGUGGAGAUCACAUCACAGAGCUGUCUCACCCCACAAGGAGCUCUGGAGUGGAGAUCACAUCACAGAGCUGUCUCACCCCACAAGGAGCUCUGGAGUGGAGAUCACAUCACAGAGCUGUCUCACUCUAAGGCAAGAAGCUUGGCCUUUGGUACUUUCGUAUUAGUCUGUCAUUGACUGUGUGCUGUCUCUGAAAUGGAGCACAUAACCUCCUGGGACUUUCUGGACAAAGUGACUUUCUUUGGCUAAAGGUGUCUGGUAUCAACCCACCAAUAAGGCUAGAGAUUUUGGGCUCAAACCCAGCCAGUGCCAAUAUCAAAGGGACCCAUUUGAAGGGCAGAUUCCAAAGGAUUCCAGGGACAGAAUCUGGUAGCAAGUUUGCUGGGCAGUGGUCCCAUGAACUGGAGAUGGGGAGGAGUCGGAGGGCAUCACCUCUGACGUUUGAGGUCAUUGUCCAUCUAAAACAGAUCUCAGUCCAAAGCUGGGUUGAUGAGAUGUUGACCAAGUCUGAGCAGUCAGUCCCAGAUGGAUUGGGAUCAGAGUCAGCCCCAUCUUGAGGGGAAUAUAUUGUUCUUUUUCAGGAAAUUAAGACAGAAACCCAGCUAUGGGGGUCAGACCAGCUCACAACAGAGAGAAACCGAAGAUUACAGUUCUUCUCAGGGAGCAAGUGGGACUCCAACCCUCUCUCCAUGGGGAGAGACCCAUGAAGGUGCCAGGGGUUAGGAAGAGAGAUAUAUUGGUUCAGGUUACUCUUGCAGCUGUAACAAAUAACCUCCAUCAUUUCAGUACCCUCAUAUGAGUGUUUUCACCAUUUGGAUACUCAAGUUCCUUCUGUCGUGUAGGUCCAUCAUUCCCCAGCAUCUGCAUCUAGGCAGAAGAAGGGAAGAGGGAGAAAGCACACCUGCUUCUUAACCUCCUUGCCUAAGAGAGACACAGAUCACUUUUGCUCAUACGCAAUUGGGGAGAACCGGUCACAUGACUUCACGUAGCAGCAAAGGUAGCUGGGAAUUAUAGUUCCUGCUGGGCUGAAGGCCUCAGGGAGAACUCUUAUAUCACAGAAGGGGAGCUUGCAUUUUGAUGAGCAGUGGCCACCCCUGCCCUGGGAGCCUAGCAGACGCCCUAUCAGAAAGAGGUCUCAGUGAGCCCAGCUGAGGGGUGGGAUCAUGUCUUUGCCCUGCUGACAAGCAGUUCUCCUGUAUACAACUUGGCCCCUGAAAUUGUCUGAAUGGAUUUGAGCACUUUCCAACCCAACAGACUGUGGAAUUGGACUAAGGUGAUAAGGACUCAGUGAAACGUGGAGCCUUGCAAAGUACACAGGAAAAAUAAGUGAAUGCAUGAAAUGACAAUUUCCUGACAGUGGGACCUAGGUUCUGGGAACAGCUUCUGAGUACACAGGGUUUGCGAUAAAUCCGGUUUUUCUCCUGUAGCUUCUGUUUGUGCUCAGGUUGUGUUUGAUCAACUCGAUUUCUGUUUGGAAUCAAGGAUCUUCUCCUGCUCGCUUAUUCCUGGCCUUCUCCUGGAGCCGUAGUGCCUCUGUGUAAGGCUGAAUUCAUAGCCCGAGGACAUUGUCUCAGCAGCUCCUUGUAAUGAUCUAAAUAUAGACGCCUCACCUCAGGUGCAGAGCAAGCAGAGGAGAGACUGCUUUGCAGACUCCUUGCUGCGGCAUCCUUGGUCGAGGGCUGGAGGACAAGAUUCCAGUCUGGGUCUCUCCACUUACUCUGCGAUCUUGACAAGUGACAAGGCCUUUAGCCCUGUUCCUUUAUCUGUAAAACUGGAACAGCCGCCAUGACGAAAAUGGAUGAGUCCAAAAGAGUGUGUAAAAAGUGCUGUGUCAGCAUUAGUGAUCAUGGCAGUGUCCAUGGGUGGGUUAAAGCACAGACUCUGGAGCCAGCCCUCGAACCCUGAUUAGCAUCCAGGCUUUGCUGCUUUCUAACUCUGUGACUCAGCACUGUGCAGAGAUGAAAAUGACACACAGCUGGCCCCCAGGAAGCUCACAGCCAUGCACCAGGCAGGGAGGACAGAAGAAGAACAUCAGAGCCUCAGAGGCUUUUGUCCUCCACAGCUGGGAAGAGAAAACACGAAGCACAGAUGUAGCGCUCUCUGUGGGGUGAUGCUCAGAUAUCCUUGCCCUUACUGCCUCCAGGCACAGCAGCCGGGCUUCCGGCUGCUGCGUCUGCACUUUGUUGCCAGUGGCUCGUGGCUGACUUCCAGGGAAUUCUCACUGCCUGGGAGCUGCCCUCAAACUGAGAUCGAGGGGUGUUGGGAUACCAGUACCCCAGCUCCCUAGUCCCUGAAGCAGGGAAACUCAGGUGAGUGCUGUACCAUGUCCUGAGCGCCCCUGGAAUUUGGCUCCAGGCUUCCACGGUGAUGAUGAGCUUGACAACACGCCCUGAAUUGGUUGCCUUGUCUGCCUCACUUCCCCACUCCUCGACUGUCGACUGGUAUUUUCUCGCACCUCCCAAAUAAAUCCCAGCUGCUCAAA
ensembl:lncRNA